rnacentral:rRNA from 1 species
AUACGGAAGGUCCGGGCGUUAUCCGGAUUUAUUGGGUUUAAAGGGAGCGCAGGCGGAGAUGCAAGCGUGACGUCAAAUUUCGGGGCUCAACCCCGUCUCGCGUCGCGAACUGCGUCCCUUGGUUGCGGGAAGGGGAGGCGGAACUCGUGGUGUAGCGGUGAAAUGCAUAGAUAUCACGAAGAACUCCGAUCGCGAAGGCAGCCUUCCGGCCCGUCAACGACGCUCAUGCUCGAAGGUGCGGGUAUCAAACAGGAUUAGAUACCCUGGUAGGCCGCACAGUAAACGAUGGACACCCGCGGUUUGGCCUAUAUGGCUGAGCCGCCAAGCGAAAGCGUUAAGUGUCCCACCUGGGGAGUACGCCGGCAACGGUGAAACUCAAAGGAAUUGACGGGG